rnacentral:lncRNA from 1 species
AGGGCGGAGCCCGGAGCUCGGCCCCUGACGAGCCCGAACUCGUCAACUUCCUGUCGGUACUUGAAGAAGCGGAGCCAGGGCUGAGAUCCCGAAGGCGGGCGAGGUCUGGGAUGGGGCGGGGCCUAUGGGAGCGGGGCUGAAGCCCUGGGCCCGGCAGAGGAAGGUCGAGAUGGACCAUGUUGGGCCCCUUCUCUCCCCGCCCCCAGGCCGCAGUUCGGGGGCCACGCCCCGGCGUGCUCGGGUCACCGCGGGAAGCCCUUGAACCCCCUGGCGCCCGGCACCCACGUGCGGUAACCGCGGCUCCUCGAGAGCUCCAGGGAUGCGGAUCUACAGUAAGGGCUGUGGCCAGAUGAAUGAAUGCACAUUUUUUAGUGGGCAGAAAGAUGUUAGAAUUCAUGAAUUAGAAUAAGCACAAAGGAGGGCGAGAGGGGAGGCCGUGGAAGCCGCAUUCCUCCCCUUGCCUUGGGCGCCCACCCCCGAAGGGGCGCGUCCCCUCCCUGCUCCACUGCACGUGGGUGUUUAACCAGGGGAUAUCCAGUGCCUCAAGCACCACGACCCGGGAGAAAACUGAGUUGAGAAGGGUCCAUUCAAGAAUUGUGCCCACAAUAUACCAGGCACUUGUCCAGACCUGCAUCGUCCAAUGCCCACCUCGACCUCCCAAAGUGUUGGGAUUAGAGGCGUGAGCCACCGCGCCCUGCCUGCAUGUGGCUAUUGAGAUGUGCUGUAUGAUACACACCGGACUUUGAAGACUCAGUGUGAAAAAUAAAAAGAAUUUUAAGAGGGGUGGGGGUCGAGGGGAGGCAGAGCAGUAGGACAAAUAGCUAAUGCACGCAGGGCUUAAAACCUAGACAACAGGUUGAUGGGUGCAGCAAACCACCAUGACACAUGUUUAUCUAUAUAGCACCUACAUGUUCUGCACUUGUAUCCUGGAACUUAAAAUUAGAAAAAAAAAAUAAUAAAAGCCAACAUGGCAUUCAUUACUGCCAAAAAAAUUAAAACACA